rnacentral:rRNA from 1 species
CAAUAGCGUAUAUUAAAGUUGUUGCAGUUAAAAAGCUCGUAGUUGAACUUCUGUACAUUCCCGGUGCCGGCUCUUGUCGAACCGUGGAGUGUGCAUCCGCUUACAAACUUAGCCCGGUCUUCAUUGGUCGACUAAGGGAGUAGGCCCUUUACUUUGAAAAAAUUAGAGUGUUUCAAGCAGGCAAUGGCUCGAAUACAUUAGCAUGGAAUAAUGGAAUAGGACUGAGGUCCAUUUGGUUGGUUAUUGGACUUUAGUAAUGAUUAACAGGGACAGUUGGGGGCAUUAGUACUUAACAGUCAGUGGUGAAAUACUUGGAUUUGUUAAAGACUAACUUAUGCGAAAGCAUUUGCCAAGGAUGUUUUCAUUAA